UGUUGUAUUUUGCAUCAGAACUUCACAAAAACAUACAGAUUUCAGAGGGCUUUAUACAAGAAGAAUUAGAUAAGAUGGAAGGUUCCGUAGCCACUGCCAGCGCCGGGAGAGCGAUGAUGAACGGCGGAGAUUUGUCGAGGAGAUUUUCUGGCCGGCCAAGUCCGAAGAGGGGUCAGGUGAAGAUGGGGAUCGUGGUUGGAUUAGCCAACUCUGUGGCUUCCAUCUUCAAUCCUCACGGCUCAUCACUGCACAGGCAAGCAUCCAAGUAACUCGUAUAGUUCCUAAGACGGAUUUCAAGAUCGAGUUAUAUUAGGUCAAGAAGUUAUGAGAAUUCGAACAGAUUGUUGAUUUGUUCAUGUGAUAGAUUUUGAUCUGUGUACAUACUGUAGAAUUUGGUUCAAAUAUUGAAAUGAAAAUCUGCAUUUCUUUGGUCAAAUCAUUUUGUUUGGUACAACAGUACUUUUUGUGCGUGAAAUGAAAUCCCAAAACCUAACAGAAGCUUGAAAGCUAAAACUAAAACUGGAACACCACGACCAGGAAUGCUUUCAAAGAAAAUAAUUUGGAUGGAUAUAAACGACUUUCUAUGUUCGGAUUCCCCAGUAACUCUUAUUGCAUAGCAAGUUCUACUUAAAAAUUAACAGAAAUUGCAAUUAGGGUACAGGGUUCAGCUAGUAAAUCCCCUUUCUCAUGAAGAAGUCAAUUAGAAGCAUGUGGAGAAUUUACCCCAUCAUGGAGGAGAUUUGAAGGUUAUCUUCAUCUUUCGCUCAAGUUCGGCGGAACUGAAUUCAUAGAGAAGCGAACAAAGCAGCACAUGAAGCUGCUAGUCUGGGUAUCAAGAUGUGUGCUGUCAACGGUGGGCCUCGUAGCUUCCUCCCUCUCAAGUUUUGGUUUUGUCAAGGGACGGGCUAUCAUGUUCACCGGAAAACGUAAAUCAAGGUUAGGCGGCAGAGCUUAACUCCACCUACCUUUCUUUUGGGGACAAGACUUCGCUGCUGCUGAUAACCAAUCAUGCGCGGACACGUGUCCAGAUUUUGAUUUUUUUAAUCAAAUUCGGACAUGUGUCCGCGUGUGAUAGGCCAUCAGCAGCUGCUGAUCUUUCAACGGCGAAGUUGUUUCCUUCUUUUGGUGCCCUUGUAUGUAACAUUGCAUUGCUCUGUUACUAUUUUCUUUUGCCUUAUCUAUGGUGUUAAUGAGAAUCUCAAUUGACCAAAAAGAGAGUAAAUAACUUAUAAUUUUGUAUGUGAGGUUCUAUUCUCAAAUCUGUCAUCCCAUAAUAUUGCUUCUAUAGAAACAAAAGUUUUGCUUACUUAGACUUGAAUUAUGGAUUUUGAUACAGCUAGUACAAUGAGAGCUUCUUAUGGUCUAUCAUUCGUUGGAGUGUGUUUUGGUUGUUGAUUUAUUGGAGGCGGUGUGUAUAUCAUCAGUUAAUGUAUUUUAAAGCUCAAAUUAAUGAUAAUCAGAAUUCUUUUUCUAGGAUCUGAUAUAAUAAGAUAUCAGAUAAGAUUGGAUUACGAUAUGAAGAAAACCAAUAAACCAUCAACCAACUCUUACUGUCUUACAUAUAUCAAAAUAAUCCCACUAAAUCCUAGAUCGGAUCCAUGCCUCUUUUGACACAAUCUGACAUACUUAAACACAUGUUUUCUACAGAUUUUGGACGUACGUACGUAUGAACCAAGUCAUUUUCAGUACAACACUCAGUGCAUGCACCGUACCAUACUAUGGCUUUGCUCUCAAAAUAAUUAGUAAUAUAACUUUGUUCAUGGCCCUACUUUAGGGUUUCAUGACACAAGUUCACUAUUAUUGUAACUCUCUAUAUCAAUAAUAUAGUACAAUUUAGAAAAAUGUUGUGCACAAUAUUAUGUUGUUAACACAAAAUGUUACAAUAGUGGUAAGUUAGAAUAUGAAAGUUGUUCUUAAAUAUUGAUCAUCUACUCAUCUUUUUUCAAAGCGUACCCGUUGUUAUAUUAAUCGAGAAAAAAUUUAAAAUCAAAAGAGAGAGAUUGCAAGAUCUUUGUUGAGGAAGGAUAUUUGAUUAAUUUUGUUAACCCUUGAAUUAAUAAAUAAUUGCAGAUAAGUCCUGCACGAGGAGACCCAUCAUCUUUCACUUUAUAUAUAUACGACUUUACUUUUUUGAGUGGGAGCAAAAUGGCCAUG
rnacentral:lncRNA from 1 species